rnacentral:pre_miRNA from 1 species
AAUAAGUGCAGUUUUACACUAUUCACGUUCAACGUUUGACCGUUCGUCUUAUUUAAAAAUUUUAUAUGAUUAGUAUUUUUAUUGCUAUUAGAUGAUAAAACAUAAAUAGUACUUUAUGUGUGACUAAAUAUUUUUAAAUUUUUCGCAAAUUUUUCAAAUAAGACGGACGGUCAAAUGUUGGGCACGGAUAUCCAUGGCUGCACUUAUU